rnacentral:rRNA from 1 species
UACGGGGGAGCAAGCGUUGUUCGGAUUUACUGGGCGUAAAGCGCGCGCAGGCGGCUUUGCAAGACAAGAUGUGAAAAUCCCCCGGGCUUAACCUGGGAACUGCAUUUGUGAACUGCAUGGCUGGAGUGACGGCAGAGGGGGAGUGGAAAUUCCGGCGAUGUGCAGUGAAAUGCGAUAGAUAUGACGGAGGAACACCGAUGGCGAAGGCAAUCCCCUGGGCCUCC